UGCAUUUUGAAAAAAGGAUAAUGCUACUAGUACAAAGUAGCUUGACAAAGGAGGCUUACAAAGUGACGUGUACAGCCCAUAUCAAAAGGCAUUGGACGGCUGAGAUGUAGGCAGAAUCUUUACCCAUUUACUGACCCAUUCAGAAAUUCAAACGCCAUUUACUACCCAUUUAGAAAUUGAAACCAGAAUAGAAGAGAGACGAAAAUUCUCAAAUUAGGGCAGCAAAAGCGAAGCGGGAUUCCGAUUGAUUUUCACGUUAUUUGUUUCAUCGACGAAUCCGGCAUUGAACGUGAUUGCUCCUCCUGUCCAUCUUCUCCAUCCGUGAAACUGGGUACGGUAUGAAUUUUUGGUUGGAAUUUUGUUGAUUAAUUUGAGCUGAAAUUUUAGUCACCAGUUAUAUGUAUAGAAUGUUAAACAUUGCUAGGCAUGGAAAUUUUAGAAUUUUGGUUGGAAUUUUGUUGAAAGUUUAAGCUGAAAUUUUAAUUACCAAUCAACAGUACCUAUAUCUUUCACGUCUCGGUCUCUCUUACGAAAUAUUCCAAAAUUUAUUUCCAGUAAUGCAUGAUUGUUCUCUGUCAUUACCCAUUUUUGCAUUACCAGGUGAGAAGGGUUCUAAAAGGUGGGGCAAACUUUAUUUGUCUUACCUUAGCAGAAAGUCCAAUAGGAGUGGUGAUUUUCCAUAGUUUAUACAUGAUGAAUACCUUUAUAUUUUGCUGUUCCCUAAUAUAUUCAUAAUUAUAAUUAACAUCGUUUGCAUAAUGGCUAAUGCAAAGAGUUAAGUUUUGUUUUGAUUACAUGAAAUUCUUGCAGAACUAUUUUUUUUUCUCACCGUAAUGUCCCGUUCGGAAAGGUAUUCAUUCUUUUAGGCCUUUUGUCUGGAAAAGAUUGAGUUUAGGAUCAUGAUUGCAGAAGAGAAAUUUUGGUUCGAUACGAAUAAUCACGUGUUUGGAAAAUCUAAUAAAAAAUGGAGUUGUGGACAAUGAAAUAUUUGGAAGAAUUCCUAUUGUUGGUAUGGGCGGAAUAGGAAAUAUAACUCAUCAAAGCUGCUCUUUCUCCUUUAAAACAUCAUUUCAAUCCAUUUUCAAAGGUACACUUCGUAUAUAAUAAUCUGGUUUUCAUUAUGCAAAUUAGUUAGCUAAAAUUCUUUUGAUGAUGAAAAUGAAAGUACUGAUUUUAUUUUCCUUUGUAAAUCUGGUUUUAACGCAAAUAAUUUGAAAUGUCUGGUUUAUAAUAUUUGUUCAUUAUGUAUAACCAUUAUGUUGUUAAAAACUUAAUCUGUUUGUAUAGACUGAUGAAUUAAAUCUUGAAUAGUUCUUCCCUUGAUACUAAGUUGAUUAAUGACUAGUUGUGUGGAGCACUCAGAUUACUAAUAAUCUAAGAUUAUCAUCAUAAUCUUAUUUGCAAUUGUUUGAUUAUUUUCUUUUACGCUUUUGAGUACACCACUGGAUGUUUGAUCAUAUUUUUUUUGAAUGCAACGGAAAAUGGUAUAUCGUUGAGAAGCUAACACACAAUCUCCAUUCUCUUUGCAGAAUAUGUAGCAACUCGAGUAUCCGGAAGCAACUCAUAAUAGUCGUGAUAUGAUGUGCUUCACCACUCACCGAAAGAGUAGAUACCAAUAAAAAUAGGCACAAACUAUUCAUGGAAAUGAAGUCGUGAACAAAAACUUGAGACCUUGGUUCUAUUUUCACCCAAUUGUUGGGUGAAAUUUGAGUGGGCUAGCAGUGGAAAAAGUAGUAGCGUGAAUGCCUUUUGUGAAGCUAUGAAAUUGCGUUGUGAGGCAAAGGAUUAUCAGUUCUUAUGGAGGUUCCAUAAGAGUUGAAAUAGCCAGAGCAGACUAUAGAAGUUCUCUAAAUAUAUAUACACAUGUAAAUAAGCUUGUGGAGGUGGCCUAUUGUCUAUCUCUGAAAAAAGUUGUAUGAUCUACAUGGUUUUCUUAUGUAUAAGAAAUGGAAUUAAUGUAUGUAAAUAUUAGCAAGUAUAAAAUUCUUGUUUUCUCCUUGAAACAGUGAUAGAUGUUCUAAUAUAUAUAGAUUACAAAUGCACACUGAAUUCACGAUCUAAACACUCACUAGAAGAGUGUCAUGAUGGUGUUGAAAGUUUUACCUCCAUCAUAAUCCCAAAUUUGAAGCUAGUCUUUCCAUUUAUCAACAGUAGGA
rnacentral:lncRNA from 1 species